AAAAGUAAAAGACGCUUACACAAAAAAUGUUUUUCAAAACGGCUGAGUCGAUUCAAGCUGCUUUUCUGUCAGCUGAAAAAAUAGUCUUGCCAACCCUACCUUCCCGAAGAAAGGAGCGGAGGAGGAAGUUGAUUCGCCGAAGUCGGAACGUGAGCUGCAAAACCGGCGGAGAUUGUGUCGUUCCCAUAGGCUAGGUUGGUGAGUUGAUUGGUGAACUCGAUUCCGUGCAAGCACACAUCAGCGGCUUCUUGCUUAAGAAGGUAAUUUGAAAAAAAUCCUUGAAAAAUUAUCUUUAAAAAAAAAGCUUUUAACUCCAGCUUCUAACAUUCCAGAUCGAUCAAUUGUUUUCAAGGGCAUGGAUAGCAACAUCAUCAAGAAGAUUCAACUAACCACGUGCCGUUGAUCAUAAAAACAUUCUGUGCUGAAGAAUAUCACCAGCAAAACCACCUUCAGAUAAGUGCUUGAUUUUUUUCUACAAAAGAAUUAGACACUUUGUGAUAAUUUCCAACAUUUUAGGUAGAAACUCAACUUGGACCAAAAGCAACAGAAAAGGCAGCCUUAGUUGAAAAAAAAGAAAGAUGUGUGCGUCAGUAAAUCAAAAGCGAUCUCGGGGUUGGAGUGAACUAAGAGAGCCAGGAUCAGCAAAUCUUCAGACAAAGAUUGACUCCAAAGAAUUCGACCGUAUUAAAAUUUCCGGUUGAACUCAAGAACAACAAGAUCACCAGAUGAACUCUCGGUUAUCCGACGUUGCACGACUGCGCCGUUUUCCUUCAGAACAAUCUUCAGAACCGGCUGCUGAAGUAACCUCUGGGACCCCUCCAUCCGACCAACAAUUUCCAAAGAAUGACGGAGAUGGAGCUGAUCGUGGUGUACAGCUUUGGUCAACUCUACCACAGUGGAUACCUCCCUGAACU